GACUCCAUAGCUCAGUGGUUAGAGUGCUGGACUAGGAAAACAGGGGUCGUGAGUUUAAUCCUCACUGGAGUCU